AGACGUGCUUUUGCCGUGUUGCCUGGACUGGUCUCGAACUCCUGAGCUCAAGCAAUCUGUCUGCCUCAACCUCCCGAAGUGCUAGAAUUAAAUAUCCAAACUCUGCAAAAUGGUGGACAUUUCAAAACAUCUGAAAUCUGCUUCAUUUGGUCUUCAUAUCUGAAAACCUGAAGUAAUAACUUGAAGUCAGUAAAGCAAGAUGCUUCAAAGACAAGACUUGGGAGUCAGACUGUAUCCAAAUCCUGGUUGUGCCAUUGACUGGGAAGACUAGGAAGUUCCUUCUCCCUCCUGUGCCUCAUUGGCUCUGUGUGAAUAGUGGAAAAGCAGUUUAAUUCAGUUGGUUAAACAUAGCUUCAGAUUCAGGAUGUCUGGUUUCAGAUACCAGCUCUCUCUGCCAUGUCCUAACUGUGCCCUUUGGGACAAGUCAACUUCUCCCUUCUCGGUUACUUCAUCUGUAAAUAUAAGAUAAUAAACAUAUCUACUUUAUAGAAUUUUUGAAAAAACAGAACCUAAGUGACAAUUCAUGGUAAACUCUUAAUAAACAUUAUUAUAUUUUCGCAAGUGAA